rnacentral:rRNA from 1 species
UACGGAGGGGCGAGCGUUGUCCGAAGUUACUGGGCGUAAAGCGCGCGUAGGCGGGUUGGUAAGUCCGCUGUGAAAGCCCGGAGCUUAACUCCGGAGGGUCGGUGGAUACUGCCAGUCUUGAAGGUGCUAGGGGGAGAUGGAAUUACCGGUGUAGCGGUGAAAUGCGUAGAUAUCGGUAGGAACACCAGUGGCGAAGGCGGUCUCCUGGGGCAUUCUGACGCUGAGGCGCGAAAGCUGGGGGAGCAAACGGG